rnacentral:tRNA from 1 species
UCUAAGGAUAAUUUCGGAAACCUGCACUUUAUCUAUCGUAAACUUUGUUUAGUUUUGAGAGGUUUACUCUUAAAACAUGGGGCUUUAGCUCAGCUGGGAGAGCGCCUGCUUUGCACGCAGGAGGUCAACGGUUCGAUCCCGUUAAGCUCCAUUGAUAACAUUAGUUAUCAAACUUGUUCUUUGAAAACUAGAUAAUAUCUUUUAUUUCUUUGUUAAUUAAAAUAACCGAGAACACCGCGUUUUAAAGAGUUUAAAACAUUAAUGUUUAAUCGCUAAACUCAUAACCAUUAUCGUAAGAUAAUAU